UACUUAUCAAGAGAGGUGGAGGGACUGGCCCGCUGAAACCUCAGCAACAGAACGCAUCUGUCUGUGCUAAAUCCUGCAAGCAAUAGCUUGAAAGAUAAGUU
rnacentral:ncRNA from 2 species